UGGGCAACCUGCCCCUGGCUCUGGGAUAACUCCCGGGGAAAACCGGAGCUAAUACCGGAUACGAGAUCGAUUGGCAUCUUUACGGUCUGGAAAGUUUUUCGGCCAGGGAUGGGCUCGCGGCCUAUCAGCUUGUUGGUGAGGUAAUGGCUCACCAAGGCGACGACGGGUAGCCGGUCUGAGAGGGCGACCGGCCACACUGGGACUGAGACACGGCCCAGACUCCUACGGGAGGCA
rnacentral:rRNA from 1 species